UAUGGCUGCAUGAGAGUAUCCAGGUAUUAUCAGAAAUUUGAUGCCACAAAUUCCCAAUAGAUAAAUCAAUGCUUCGUAUAUUAUUGUACUCAUAAAAUAGAAAAGGUAACCGUUUGAGGCUUAAAGGUAAUAUAUGGGGAUUAUAAUCUGAAUCAGACUAAAUGCUGCCACUACAUAUAGUUAUAGAUUUUCAAUGGUUCUUGACUUAUAUUUUUAUUAAAAAAAUCGUUCUUGACUUAUUAUCUAGUAAAUUGUAAGAAAUCGGCAGGGUAUCAUAUUUGAUAGUGCUUGUAAAAUUUAGAAUUAAUUAAAAUACACAUGAUCAAAUGUAAGGCACUGAUGUCCCUUGCUCAGUUAAUCGGUGUCUUAGUGCCAAGGGUUUUUCUGGAAUAGACUACAGAUAUGUUCUACUGAUGCCUACUAAAAAAUUGGUCAUCUAAACAGCUCACAGACAAUGACAUAUCAAUUAAUCAUGCCUUUAGACCGGGCUCCUCGUUUUGUAGUUAAUGGCCUCCUUUCGCCAUCAACAUCAAAGACAAAGAUGUGCAACCAGCUUGGUAACGAAAAAAUGCGAUCAGUUCCAUGGUGGACUGCACCCAGGAGUUGCAGGCAAAGUGCACCGGCCCGCAUGGCAGCCCGCCCUCAACAACGAUGCUCUCCAGGAAGAACUCCCGGUGGUGCCGGUUGGCCACAGUGAUCGCGCCCGGCUCGCCAAAAUCUGAAUCCACCAUGAACUCUGCGGUGUACACGACGUGGUCUCCCUUGACACCUCUCUUCCGGCACCAGUCCCUGAUCGAUGCCUGGCCGCUCUGCAUUGGCUUCUUCGUCCCUGUCAAUGAUUCACGUCGCACGAGCAGGAAAAGUUAGAACAAUCUUAGGAGAAGUCAAAUAAGGAGACAUGGAAAGCGACUGCAAAAGCUUUGGCGAUCGCAUGGUGCGAAUGGAGAGACGGGGCAAACAUGUUUGUUGCAGUACUGAUCCAUUUUGAGCUUGAAAUAUUCCGCAGUGAUUAGGACUACUGCUAAAGGGAGGCUGCAGUGCUCUGAAGAUUCUGGUGGAUGGAUGACGGUUUGGAUUUUAAAAAUAUAGGAAGUUCUGUUAAAAGUCUGCUCCAAUUCUUUCCUUUUCUUCUUGCAAAAUGUUAGAAUUUACAGUCUUGUGAAAGAUUCCGGUGGUUAAAAAGUUAAAGCAGCUCCAAUUGUUUAGUUCUUCUUCCUUUUUUUUUGGGAUAAAAAAAUGUUAUUGGAAAAUGAAGUGCGAACAAUGGAAUAAACAAAUGCAGAGAAAAC